ACAAAAAUAAUAAGACCAAGGGG
rnacentral:piRNA from 1 species